AACGUAGGGGGCGAGCGUUAUCCGGAAUCACUGGGCGUAAAGGGCCUCUAGGCGGCUGCCUAAGUCAGACGUGAAAUCCCUCGGCUUAACCGGGGAACUGCGUCUGAUACUGGAUGGCUUGAGAUUGGGAGAGGGAUGCGGAAUUCCAGGUGUAGCGGUGAAAUGCGUAGAUAUCUGGAGGAACACCGGUGGCGAAGGCGGCAUCCUGGACCAACACUGACGCUGAGGAGCGAAAGCGUGGGGAGCAAACAGGG
rnacentral:rRNA from 1 species